rnacentral:tRNA from 1 species
GGGCGGCGAGGAAGCCGUCCUGACCGAUCUCGGGGGCCGGUGUGCCCUCUGGGGCACCCCGGCGCCGUACGACUCGGCGGCCGUCCUCCA